rnacentral:rRNA from 1 species
CAGCAGCCGCGGUAAUACGUAGGGGGCAAGCGUUAUCCGGAUUUACUGGGUGUAAAGGGGGCGCAGACGGCGAUGCAAGUCUGAAGUGAAAUCCCACGGCUCAACUGUGGAAUUGCUUUGGAAACUGUAUUGCUUGAGUGCUGGAGAGGUAAGCGGAAUUCCUGGUGUAGCGGUGAAAUGCGUAGAUAUCAGGAAGAACAUCAGUGGCGAAGGCGGCUUACUGGACAGCAACUGACGUUGAGGCUCGAAGGCGUGGGGAGCAAACAGGAUUAGAUACCCUGGUAGUCCACGCGGUAAACGAUGAAUACUAGGUGUUGGGAGACAUAGUCUUUCAGUGCCGUCGCUAACGCAGUAAGUAUUCCACCUGGGGAGUACGUUCGCAAGAAUAAAACUCAAAUGAAUUGACGG